AUUAGAUACCCUGGUAGUCCACGCCCUAAACGAUGUUAACUAGUUGUUGGGAAGUAAUAUUCUCAGUAACGCAGCCAACGCGAGAAGUUAACCGCCUGGGAAGUACGGUCGCAAGACUAAAACUCAAAGGAAUUGACGGGGACCCGCACAAGCGGUCGAUGAUGUGGAUUAAUUAGAUGCAACGCGAAAAACCUUACCUACCCUUGACAUGUCAGGAAGCUCUCGUAAUGAGAGCGUGCCCGCAAGGGAGCCUGAACACAGGUGCUGCAUGGCAGUCGUCAGCUCGUGUCGUGAGAUGUUGGGUUAAGUCCCGCAACGAGCGCAACCCUUAUCCUUAGUAGCCAGCAUGAAAGAUGGGAACUCUGGGGAGACUGCCGGAGACAAUCCGGAGGAAGGUGGGGAUGACGUCAAAUCAUCAUGCCCCUUAUGGCUUGGGCUACACACGUGCUACAAUGGUGGUAACAAAGUGACGCGACCCCGUGAGGGCAAGCCAACCACAAAAAAUCCAUCUCAGUUCGGAUUGUAGUCUGCAAUCCGACUACAUGAAGCUGGAAUCGUUAGUAAUCGAGAAUCAGAAUGUCGCGGUGAAUACGUUCCCGGCUCUUGUACACACCGCCCGUCACACCAUGGGAGUUGGAAAUGCCCGAAGCCGGUGACCGAACCUUAGGGACGGAGCCGUCGAAGGUGGAGCCAAUGACUGGGGUGAAGUCGUAACAAGGUACCAAGGGCGA
rnacentral:rRNA from 1 species